AGAGUUUGAUCCUGGCUCAGGACGAACGCUGGCGGCAUGCUUAACACAUGCAAGUCGAACGGAAAGGCCACCUUCGGGUGGUACUCGAGUGGCGAACGGGUGAGUAACACGUGGGUAACCUACCUCUGACUGGGGGACAACCGGGGGAAACUCCGGCUAAUACCGCAUAACGUGCAUUGUCACAAGGCGAUGUACCAAAGUGGCUUCGGCUUUGCGGUCAGAGAUGGGCCCGCGGUGGAUUAGCUUGUUGGUGGGGUAACGGCCUACCAAGGCUACGAUCCAUAGCUGGUCUGAGAGGACGAUCAGCCACACUGGAACUGAGACACGGUCCAGACUCCUACGGGAGGCAGCAGUGGGGAAUCUUGCGCAAUGGGCGAAAGCCUGACGCAGCAAUGCCGCGUGAGGGAAGACGGCCUUAGGGUUGUAAACCUCUUUCGGUUGGGACGAAGCUUUCAGGGUGAAUAGCCCUGUGGAGUGACGGUACCUUCAGAAGAAGCCCCGGCUAACUACGUGCCAGCAGCCGCGGUAAUACGUAGGGGGCAAGCGUUGUCCGGAAUCAUUGGGCGUAAAGAGCGUGUAGGCGGCCCGGAAAGUCUGAUGUGAAAACUUGGGGCUCAACCCCAAGCCUGCAUUGGAUACUGUCGGGCUUGAGUCUGGAAGAGGAGAGUGGAAUUCCUGGUGUAGCGGUGGAAUGCGCAGAUAUCAGGAGGAACACCAAUGGCGAAGGCAGCUCUCUGGUACAUGACUGACGCUGAGACGCGAAAGCGUGGGUAGCAAACAGGAUUAGAUACCCUGGUAGUCCACGCCGUAAACGAUGGACGCUAGGUGUGGGGGGUGUCGACUCCCUCCGUGCCGAAGCUAACGCAUUAAGCGUCCCGCCUGGGGAGUACGGCCGCAAGGCUAAAACUCAAAGGAAUUGACGGGGACCCGCACAAGCAGCGGAGCAUGUGGUUUAAUUCGACGCAACGCGAAGAACCUUACCUAGGCUUGACAUGUGGAAGUAAGCCGUGGAAACACGGCCCCCCGCAAGGGCUUCUUCACAGGUGGUGCAUGGCUGUCGUCAGCUCGUGUCGUGAGAUGUUGGGUUAAGUCCCGCAACGAGCGCAACCCCUGUCCUAUGUUGCCAGCGAGUAAUGUCGGGGACUCAUAGGAGACUGCCGGUGACAAACCGGAGGAAGGUAGGGAUGACGUCAAGUCAGCAUGCCCCUUAUGUCUAGGGCUACACACGUGCUACAUUGGCUGGUACAAAGGGCUGCCAAGCAGUAAUGCGGAGCGAAUCCCAUAAAGCCAGUCUCGGUUCGGAUUGAGGGCUGAAACUCGCCCUCAUGAAGGUGGAGUUGCUAGUAAUCGCGAAUCAGCAACGUCGCGGUGAAUACGUUCCCGGGUCUUGUACACACCGCCCGUCACACCACGAAAGCCGGUAAUACCCGAAGCCGGUGGCCUAACCCGCAAGGGAGGGAGCCGUCGAAGGUAGGAUCGGUGAUUGGGGUGAAGUCGUAACAAGGUAACC
rnacentral:rRNA from 1 species